UAUGUAGUUCAGUGGUAGAACACUUUCAGAGCAUGUGUGGGGCUCUGGGUUCAAAUCCUAGCAUA
rnacentral:tRNA from 1 species